rnacentral:rRNA from 1 species
AGCAUAUCAUAAGCGGAGGAAAAGAAACUAACAAGGAUUCCCCUAGUAACUGCGAGUGAAGCGGGAAAAGCUCAAAUUUAAAAUCUGGUGGUCUCUGGCCAUCCGAGUUGUAAUCUAGAGAAGUGUUAUCCGCGCUGGACCGUGUACAAGUCUCCUGGAAUGGAGCGUCAUAGAGGGUGAGAAUCCCGUCUUUGAUACGGACUGCCAGGGCUUUGUGAUGCGCUCUCAAAGAGUCGAGUUGUUUGGGAAUGCAGCUCAAAAUGGGUGGUAAAUUCCAUCUAAAGCUAAAUAUUGGCGAGAGACCGAUAGCGAACAAGUACCGUGAGGGAAAGAUGAAAAGAACUUUGGAAAGAGAGUUAAACAGUACGUGAAAUUGCUGAAAGGGAAACGCUUGAAGUCAGUCGCGUUGUCUGGGACUCAACCUUGCUUUUGCUGGGCGUACUUUCCAGAUGACGGGUCAGCAUCAAUUUUGACCGUUGGAUAAAGUCUAGAGGAAUGUGGCAUCUUCGGAUGUGUUAUAGCCUUUGGUCGCAUACAACGGUUGGGAUUGAGGAACUCAGCACGCCGCAAGGCCGGGUACUUGUACCACGUUCGUGCUUAGGAUGCUGGCAUAAUGGCUUUAAUCGACCCGUCUUGAAACACGGACCAAGGAGUCUAACAUGCCUGCGAGUAUUUGGGUGGAAAACCCGAGUGCGUAAUGAAAGUGAAAGUUGAGAUCCUUGUCAUGGGGAGCAUCGACGCCCGGACCAGACCUUUUGUGACGGAUCUGCGGUAGAGCAUGUAUGUUGGGACCCGAAAGAUGGUGAACUAUGCCUGAAUAGGGUGAAGCCAGAGGAAACCUCCUGGUGGAGGCUCGUAGCGAUUCCUGACGUGCAAAUCGAUCGUCAAAUUUGGG